rnacentral:rRNA from 1 species
AAAGCUGGGGGAGCGAACGGAUUAAGAUACCCGGGUAGUCCCAGCUGUAAACGAUGCGGGCUAGGUGUUGGCACGGCUAUGAGCCGUGCCAGUGCCGCAGGGAAGCCGUUAAGCCCGCCGCCUGGGGAGUACGGCCGCAAGGCUGAAACUUAAAGGAAUUGGCGGGGGAGCACCACAAGGGGUGAAGCUUGCGGUUUAAUUGGAGUCAACGCCGGGAACCUUACCGGGGGAGACAGCAGGAUGAAGGCCAGAUUGAAGGUCUUGCCAGACAAGCUGAGAGGAGGUGCAUGGCCGUCGCCAGUUCGUGCCGUGAGGUGUCCUGUUAAGUCAGGCAACGAUCGAGACCCGCGCCCCCUGUUGCCACCGGCCUCUGCGCCGGGCACACUGGGGGGACUGCCGCCGAUAAGGCGGAGGAAGGAGCGGGCCACGGCAGGUCAGUAUGCCCCGAAUCCCCCGGGCCACACGCGAGCUGCAAUGGCAGGGACAAUGGGUUCCGACCCCGAAAGGGGGAGGCAAUCCCUAAACCCUGCCGUAGUUGGGAUCGAGGGCUGCAACCCGCCCUCGUGAACAUGGAAUCCCUAGUAAUCGCGCGUUACCAUCGCGCGGUGAUACGU